AAAUCAAUUAAAAAAACAGGCUUGCUUGCUGUAUGGAGAAAGAGGAAGAGAACGGAGUGGUAAAAAUACAAACGAAAGGCUUGAGAAAUAUAUAGUCACAAAGAGAGACAGUUUGUAUGGCGCCAAGAGAGAAAAAGAGAGAGGCGAUGAGGCCUGAGAGAGACAUGGAGAAAGAAACUGAGAAAGGGGAAGAAUCAGACCACCGGAACCACAAGCACAUAGAAAGAAAAAUCUAUGGCCCAUCAAAACCGUAAAUUUUUUUAGAUUUGGAAUGAUUGAGAGGGAUACAGAGAUAGUGUUCGUGAAUGUCGCUGCCACCAGCGUCAGUCCGGCUUCCUACCACCGUCAGUAGCCUCGCCAUAGAAGAAAAAUCUAUGGACCAUCAACACCGUAAGGCCAUAUACGCACCACCAUCAGAUUAUCGGAACUGCCGCCAGUACCUUCUUUCCCCCUUUUUAGAUCUAGGUUUAUUGUUCGGUUAAGGUUUAUCGGAACCGCAGGCACAGAGAGACAGGCUAUAUACCCGUAACCGAUCACUCAUCCCUGACUUAUAAGACUUUUGGCUACUAUUGGAUAAGAGCUACUAAAUUAAAUUGAAAGGUUAGGAAUGCCUAAUUUUCCCUUUGUAGCUAUUAUUUAAUUUGUAACUUUUUGUCCUUUGUUGAUGCUUGAUUAAAAAAAAAUAGAACUAAAAUAGAAAAAGAGAGGAAAAUGCAAGAGAAGCGCGCCUAAAAAGAUGGUUGCAAAGUUUUGAGAAACGAACCAAUACAAAAUGGCAUGAAAGAAAAAAUAGUUUACAAAAUAAACUUACCCAGGCUAGGAAAUACAGGGGAAUAGUAAUUGCUAAAAAAAAAAAAAAAAGAUUGUUCUUUGUUGCAUUCACUUGGUACAAGUACUAACUUUUAUGUGUUAAGAGGUUCACUUCUCUUUCUGCCACUUUGUACUUAUUAGUUCUUUAUACAUUCCUUUUUCUAAAUUUGAAAAUAAAACUUUCUAUUCACAUUUGAUUAUUAGAUAUUGACGUUGACAUGGGCCAUUCCUUUGGAGAAACUAGAAUUAACAUAAGUACAGAUGAUACUUUGGUAAAAGGACACAAAAGACAAAUUUGUCAGAAAAACAAGGGAGGACAGCAGUUCUCUAUUUACAACUGCCAUAUCUGCUAAAGAGGAAAAUCAGAUGAUGAUAGCAUACCAAUUCAAAUGCUUCACAAACAAAGCACGGCUACUAAACAAAAUGCAUUGAAGAAGAAGAAAAUUUGAAGAGAAAAAAAAUAACCAGUAGAUGUACUACAUUACCCAGAUGAAAUGUAAUGUAUUUUAUUAUAUUCUUAUGUUAAGUUGAUAGAAUUUUAAAUAUGUAAAAUGUUCCCGUGUAUUGCGUGUGUUAAAUGAUUUGUAUUGAAUAUUUUUUGGAAUU